CAUCAACUGAUGAGCUCUCAAGUAAUGCAAACUUCCCAUCCAGCUCACUUGUGGCUAACUGGCCAAGGGCUUCUGCUUCUGAUUCCAUUGCCAUUACUAUAAAAGUGAAAAGAAUAAGAAAGAAAAACAUAAGUUUAGAUCCAAAUCAAUUUCUAUUCUUCAUUAGCAAUAAUACAGAACAGUUCUUGACACUGCAUUUGUAGCAGCUGUUGAGAAAAGCAAGAUCUUAAAUAUUUUUUAUUAAAAGCAAAUAAGAUUUAUUUUAAGGUGUUUUUGGUAUGUUCAAGACAAAAAAACUCAAACAGCUCAAAAGCAGUUGCUAACUGCUUUUUGGAAAAGCUUCUAAAUCCUAAUAUCAUGCUUUUCCAAAGCAGUGACAAGAAUAGUGCCUAACAUGCAGGCAAAAUGCCCUGUAGUAUGGGUUUGAGCAACCAGAAAGGAUGAACAACAUUAAGACAUAUCCCAUGACAAUAUCAAACUGUUGACACUAGCAAUAGAUUAUUUAAUAAGGAAAUUCUAUUAUAUAAAUAAAUAUGUUCUGAGAAUUUAAAACAUAGCUAAUGUGAAAGACCUUAUUGUCUUAAAUAAGGAAAUGGAGAAGCCACAGGCCAAAUAGUCAAGAAUCAAACAAGCACUCAGAAAGUAUAGUGCAAUAUUUGGAAGAACAGAGGAGAUAUACCACUAAAUAUGUUUGCUCAAGUACAUCUUAUGUAUGUAAUGCAGGAUAUAGUAUGAGUGAUCAAGUUAUGAAUAAGUAUGGUGCAUAUGGGGAAAUUGACAAAUAAAAAGAGAACGUGGGGCAGUAAAGAGAAAAGGGAGGCUUUGUACAUGCUGAAAUAGUAACUUAGCAACAUUACAAAUCAUUAGAACUAUGUGUGCAAGUCAUUGUCUCAUUGAUAUAUAUAUUCUCCAAGGGCUAUGAGUUAAGCAUUUGAGACAAUUCCAUGGUACAUGUAAGUGCAUGCAGGCAGUUGGGGAUCAGAAAUGAAAUGAACAAAAGCAGAGACUUUAGAUAUAGAGAAAUACAGAGAUUGAUUCCAGAUGUUUUAC
rnacentral:misc_RNA from 1 species